UGAAGCGAAGGCCGAUUCUCUGUCAAUGAUGUGUAUCGAACACUUUACUAUUUUUCUUCUGUGUCAUGGGUUCCUUGUUCCGUUUUACGUCUCGUGCUGCACUCAUUGGAUCGGCUGUUGGGGGCUGAAUCUUGCAGAUGCGGUGAUCUUAGUGGAGUGCACUCCUCGUGCAUAGCCAGGGCCUUGUUCGGCUAAUGUACUCCUUCUGUCUCUUUUUUUUCUUUUAUUUUGUUCUGUUUUUGUUGUUGUUUUGUUUAGUUUUUUCUUGCGGCUUCCGCGUUGUCCUAUUGUUGGCGGGUGAUAUAGGAGGCCAUGGCCAUUUUGGGUGUCGUCAGUGAGUUUGCGGUGCAACCAAGCUCAUAGUCCAAUUUUUUCUUGAAAUUGGUUUUUUCGCGGUUGGGUGAGUCAAAAAGGAAGUGGGAUUGGACUUGGUUUCAGCAUGGGGGGAGUCAAUGAGAAGGCAGAGUGAGUAUCUAGCGAUUGGCGGCGGCUGGGGAGGGACAGGGCGAGGACCGAAGGCGUCGCAUAGAUUCGAAGAUGAAACCAGGAUGGAAUUUUUUAUGCUGGUUUGCUGGCGCAGUGUGUAGACGCCUGAUUCGGUGGAUUGAGAAUUGCUUGAACGCGGCUGUCAUCGUUGCAGAUGCGCUCCGCGAGGGCGAUAUUGAACUCCUUCGAGUUGCUUAGACCACGCCAGCUGUCGGCAAGAUGCACAUUGCACCAGGUCCAAGAGCCCUUUGCUUCCUGAGGGCGAGACUUCGUAGAAUACGUGACGAGAUGGAGUCCUAACAUCAUCAAAAACUUGCAGCCAGCGAAACUUGAAGCCUUGUUGGCUAUGUGCGACUAUGACGAGGACAGAGGAUAGGUGAAAUGCUUGAGAAUAGAGGGCUGGUCUGGCACCGGUCGAUAUGCCUCAACGAGGCUUGUCUAUUGUUUCAGACGGAAGACAAGGAAGCUGUAGUACCUACCACCAAAGCUCACUGCUAUAUUUUAACAGCAUCGAGCACAAUAUUCUUCAAAUUUAUUCAUCUCGACCCUGCAACCAAUUAAAUUAACGAUUUAUAUUGUAGGGUGGUGGCUGUGACAGGCAUGUGUAGAACUCGGCAAAUUUAGUGUCGUAGUAGGCUGGUCAGUGGCCUGUGGAUUAAACGCAGCUUUGAUUCCUUAGAACACACCAAUUUUUAUAGUAGGUUGAUAAAAUUCAUUCUGAAAAGUCGUGAUUCUUUCAUUUC